ensembl:lncRNA
AUUUCCUCGUUGAAAUUCUCCACAAAAUGCAUUAAUUCAAUAUUUAAGAUUUUUUGAUGAAUAAAUAAUAGCUCAAACGCUGUUUUACUGUAUAGCUGAAAAAAUCCAGAAUUGUUAAUUAUGAAAUUCUGGGAAUGUUUUAAGAACUGAAACGGGAAGUGAGAUCCUAAACAAAUGUAGUCCAACUCCAGUUCAUAACGUUUCAUUCUCACAGUCCAUCAGAGUGGAGUGUGUGUGUGGGACUGAAGGACUGGGUUCUACUGCUGUUCUCUGGACUAAAUGAAAAUGCUGCUGAUCUGUGGAGUUCUGCUGAUGUUCACAGGAUCUGCUGUGGGUCUGAUUACAGUAGAUGAUCGGUGCAGAUCUGAUCAGAGCUGUGUGUUUUAUGGAGCUGUGGGACGCCGGCUGGACCUGCAGCUUCCUAAAGAUGAGGAAUUAAAAUUUUUUAGGAUAAAGAGAAGAUUUUUUUCUGAUUGCAUUUUACAUUUUAAAAACCAAAAAAUUAUAGAAAACCCUUCAGAUCCAAGAUGGGAGUUUAAUACUGAAAACAGAACCAUGACAAUAACCAGAGCAGAGAAAAGAGAUUCAGCAGGAUACAGAUUAGAAACCUUCAAUUCAACUGGAUCUAACACAGGCAUUUACUAUCUCCAUCUGAUUAUAGAAGCUGCGGUGUCGUCAGUGAAAGUGACGAACAGCUGUUUCUCCAUUACGGAGAGAAAAGUUCACUGUUCAUCUGAUGGAGAUCAGAUUCAGUUCAGCUGGACUCUGGAUGGAAUUCCUCAUAAUCAGAAUCUGACUGAUGGGAAUCGGACUCUCCUGCUGGGUGAAAGAUCUACUGGAAACUUCACCUGCACUGUAAAGAAUCACGUCAGCAGCGGAUCUGCUACGGUUAUAAUAGAGCCCUGUCCUGAGACUACGACUGCGGCCUCAACUACGAGUACACCGACCACUGCGACCCCACCUCCUUUCAAUGACUUACUUCUGAUCAUGCUGGGCUUGUUUGCUGUAUUGCUCAUCGUGGUUGCCGUCAUAGUGUGCCAUAUUUACAGGAAGAAACAAGCUCCAAAGACCACAGGAUCACCUCAGAAUGGGGAGGAACUGCUGUAUGUUCAUGUCAAUCAUAAACCCAAACCCAAAGACGGGGAGGAAGGAACCAGCAGACCAGCUCGAGUUCAGGAGGAGGAAGUGGAGUACGCCUCGGCCGUCAGGCAGCCCAAGCAGAAGAAGAAGAAGAAGAAGGAGCCGAAGGAGGAGGAAGUUCAGUACGGAGAGGUGGUCUUCAAAACCCCCGCCAAAAAGCAGCGAGAGCAGCCCGAGGAGGAGUGCGUUUACUCGCAGGUUCAGCACAAGCGGUGAGGACCACCCGCCAGCGCUAGCGCUCGGUUUACCGUCAAUCUGAGAAACUCAUGAUCAGAAAACUGAUUAUGUUAGUGGUGAAUGUUUAUGGGUGCUUCUUAAUAUGUUACUGUUUUAUUUAUACAUUAUUAUACCAUUAAUUAUAAAGCUAUGUAAGAAAUGUACAUUUUAUGUUUGAUAAGAAACAUAAAAAGGGUAUUUCUUAUUAAUGUGUAAUAAACCCUUAACUAAGUAUCA